rnacentral:rRNA from 1 species
GGUGACGGGGCCUAAUACAUGCAGGUCGAGCGAAUGGAUUAAGAGCUUGCUCUUAUGAAGUUAGCGGCGGACGGGUGAGUAACACGUGGGUAACCUGCCCAUAAGACUGGGAUAACUCCGGGAAACCGGGGCUAAUACCGGAUAACAUUUUGAACCGCAUGGUUCGAAAUUGAAAGGCGGCUUCGGCUGUCACUUAUGGAUGGACCCGCGUCGCAUUAGCUAGUUGGUGAGGUAACGGCUCACCAAGGCAACGAUGCGUAGCCGACCUGAGAGGGUGAUCGGCCACACUGGGACUGAGACACGGCCCAGACUCCUACGGGAGGCAGCAGUAGGGAAUCUUCCGCAAUGGACGAAAGUCUGACGGAGCAACGCCGCGUGAGUGAUGAAGGCUUUCGGGUCGUAAAACUCUGUUGUUAGGGAAGAACAAGUGCUAGUUGAAUAAGCUGGCACCUUGACGGUACCUAACCAGAAAGCCACGGCUAACUACGUGCCAGCAGCCGCGGUAAUACGUAGGUGGCAAGCGUUAUCCGGAAUUAUUGGGCGUAAAGCGCGCGCAGGUGGUUUCUUAAGUCUGAUGUGAAAGCCCACGGCUCAACCGUGGAGGGUCAUUGGAAACUGGGAGACUUGAGUGCAGAAGAGGAAAGUGGAAUUCCAUGUGUAGCGGUGAAAUGCGUAGAGAUAUGGAGGAACACCAGUGGCGAAGGCGACUUUCUGGUCUGUAACUGACACUGAGGCGCUUUAAACUUCCCAU